UUCCGUAGGUGAACCUGCGGAAGGAUCAUUACCGAGUGAGGGCCCUCUGGGUCACCUCCCACCCGUGUUUAUUUUACCUUGUUGCUUCGGCGGGCCCGCCUUAACUGGCCGCCGGGGGGCUUACGCCCCCGGGCCCGCGCCCGCCGAAGACACCCUCGAACUCUGUCUGAAGAUUGUAGUCUGAGUGAAAAUAUAAAUUAUUUAAAACUUUCAACAACGGAUCUCUUGGUUCCGGCAUCGAUGAAGAACGCAGCGAAAUGCGAUACGUAAUGUGAAUUGCAAAUUCAGUGAAUCAUCGAGUCUUUGAACGCACAUUGCGCCCCCUGGUAUUCCGGGGGGCAUGCCUGUCCGAGCGUCAUUGCUGCCCUCAAGCACGGCUUGUGUGUUGGGCCCCGUCCUCCGAUCCCGGGGGACGGGCCCGAAAGGCAGCGGCGGCACCGCGUCCGGUCCUCGAGCGUAUGGGGCUUUGUCACCCGCUCUGUAGGCCCGGCCGGCGCUUGCCGAUCAACCCAAAUUUUUAUCCAGGUGACCUCGAUCAGGUAGGGAUACCCGCUGAACUUAAGCAUAUCAAUAAGCGGAGAUCAUUACCGAGUGAGGGCCUCUGGGUCAACCUCCCACCCUUGUUUAUUUUACCUUGUUGCUUCGCGGGCCGCCUUAACUGGCCGCCGGGGGCUUACGCCCCG
rnacentral:rRNA from 1 species